UGGCUCCUUGAACCCUCGGGCACCCAGUUAAUAAAACACCCACGUCAGCACAGCGCUCCAGUCUCUCUCGCCGGGUUUCGGUCUUUAGGGCUGAGCAGGAAGUGGCUGACUGUGGACCCUGAUCGAGAGAAAAGGCCAAAGAAAGCCUGCAGGGAAUCAAAAAAUGGAUAUUAUGACCGACGAGGGGGAGAGCAGGCUCUAUCGGGCGUCGGGUGAAUCCAAUCACCAGCAGCCUCAGAGAUGGUUCAACACGGCCGACAUCACUGUGGCUCACCAAAGUAACCUCCUGAAGCAGCUUAACCAGCAGAGACGUCAAGAGCUGUUCUGUGACUUCAAUGUGUUGGUAGAGGGCCACCUGUUCAGGGCUCACCGCAACGUCCUGUGCGGGAGUAGUGGCUACUUCCGCAUGCUGCUGACACAGGGUCCUGAUGGCAUGUCAGAGUCUGCAAAUGCUUCUUUUGACUCUUUCAGCCCAGAGACCUUCACAGUCAUCUUGGAUUUCAUCUAUUCGGGCCACCUGGACCUCUCAGGUCAAAAUGUGAUAGAAGUGAUGUCUGCAGCCAGUUACCUACAGAUGAACAAUGUCAUCAACUACUGCAAGAAUUUUAUCAAAUCCUCUUUGGACAUCAGCGUUAAAGAUGAAGACGGUGAUCGUUGUCACAGCUUGUCAGAGACGUGCAGUUUUACCAGCGCCGCAGGAGAGGAGACCGUAGAUCAGCAACCGCCUCCAGAAUCACGUUCUGACAGUCCACCACCUGCACUUUGGACCAGGGACAGCUCCAGAUCCCAGUCUAGCUUUAUGUGCAAGGACUUGGAGCAUGACAUUUCUGGUUCAGCCCUAAAGACUGAGCCAAGUAGUCCCACCAAUGAUCUCAACACAGAGUCAGAAGACCCCCAAGACCCUUUGUAUACUUUGCCAGUGCCGGAGCGGCGGCGUGCCAGGGGUGCGAAUAAGAGGAAGGCGAGCAACAACAUCCACUCAAACCAGCAUGAAGACCCAGACGUCCAGGAGGCCAGCGCCCAAAAAGCAGAGAAGGCUGAGGAGCUUUAUGCCAAUUUACCACCAAUUGUGGGUGUUGUCACACAGUUUAAUGAAAAUGAAUCCAAUACCGUUAUGCGUUUUAAAUGCCCCUUCUGUACACACACGGUGAAAAGGAAGGCAGACCUAAAGCGUCACUUGCGCUGUCACACUGGUGAGAGACCAUAUCCCUGUCAGGCCUGCACUAAGCGAUUUACUCGCCUGGAGCAUCUCCGCAGCCACUUUGAGACGAUUCACCAAGCCAGGAAGCUGGUGUGCAGGAGGUGCAAGUGUCCAGUGACUGAAGACUCCGGCCAAGUGGUGUGUGAGGGCACACGGCGUUAUCGCAUGUGCCCACUGUGUGUUCACGAAGUGGGCCGUGACACUGUACCCAUGGAAAGUCUAGACGGAAGCAGUGAGGAGCCGGCUCUGUUACUGGGUGUGGAUGGUGAAGAGGAGCACAGUAAUAGGGCCUGGAUGGCAACCGAUGACGAUGACCUGGCUGAAGACUCAGGUGCUGACCUCAUCAUUCAACAAGUGGAUGACAGUGAUGAGGAGCUGCAGUGAAAUUGGGCCAAAGUGUGCGUGUAUGUGUAAAUAUUGAGUGCGGGUAAACAUGUUAAAGUUACACCUGAAAAUGUGGGCUUCAAAUGGGGGAUGGUGCUAGUGGAGACUUUUGUAUCUGCUGCUAUAUGUACGGCCGCUUAAACACAAUAAUAUUUCUCCGUGUGUCAUCAUACAUGAUUUUUAUCAGCCCACCUGGGCCCCCUUGAAGCACCCCCUCCUCCCCAAAGCUCCGCCCCUAGCCUUUACUAUGAUAUGCUGUGCUAUUCCUUUACGGUGAGAGAACUGUCUGAUCAGUUCUUUCAAAGACAUUUUUUUCUUACUUUUGUUACAAGCUCCUUAAAGUAUAUGCAGUAUCCAAAGCAUGUGUCUUGAUUUUUUCUUUUGCUGUCUUUAAAUGACAGACUUAAAAACAAUUUAUUUGUAAAUAGAAAACUCUUUCUGAGUUUUUGAAGAUUCUCAGCUUUGAUAAAAGAUGACAGUUAAACAAAAACAUAAGGACUAAAAAAUGUUUGAAUUAUUUUUUUUUUUUUUGCCAUUGCAUUGCUACCAUAUAAUAUGCGCUAUGAUUAAGUCAAUUAAAAGUAGUUUUAUUUGGUUACUUUUGGACACAUUAAAGAUAUUUUUGUACACUUCCACGGCUGAAAAGUUAUCCAUCUAAACAUCUGUACCGCCAUACAAGAGUGGCUCAUGGUGUGAAGAAACCAUUAGCCAUUUCAGUGUGCAUUAGUAGUUGAAGUAUAGCUAUGGAAAGCGACAACCAGAGAGACAGAGAAGAGUAAGAAGUGCUGACCAACAGGAGCGAGAGGAGGCUGGCGUAAGAGCAGGUCAACCCCUCCCAGAGAAGGUAAAAAUAGUGGAGGUGGGACCCAGAGAUGGCCUUCAGAAUGAAAAG